AGUGAGCGCUGGCGGUAGGCCUAACACAUGCAAGUCGAACGGCAGCACAGUAAGAGCUUGCUCUUACGGGUGGCGAGUGGCGGACGGGUGAGGAAUACAUCGGAAUCUACUUUUUCGUGGGGGAUAACGUAGGGAAACUUACGCUAAUACCGCAUACGACCUACGUGUGAAAGCAGGGGAUCUUCGGACCUUGCGCGAUUGAAUGAGCCGAUGUCGGAUUAGCUAGUUGGCGGGGUAAAGGCCCACCAAGGCGACGAUCCGUAGCUGGUCUGAGAGGAUGAUCAGCCACACUGGAACUGAGACACGGUCCAGACUCCUACGGGAGGCAGCAGUGGGGAAUAUUGGACAAUGGGCGCAAGCCUGAUCCAGCCAUACCGCGUGGGUGAAGAAGGCCUUCGGGUUGUAAAGCCCUUUUGUUGGGAAAGAAAAGCAGCAGGUUAAUACCCCGCUGUUCUGACGGUACCCAAAGAAUAAGCACCGGCUAACUUCGUG
rnacentral:rRNA from 1 species